rnacentral:rRNA from 1 species
GGCGUAAAGAGCUCGUAGGCGGUUUGUCGCGUCUGCCGUGAAAGUCCGAGGCUCAACCUCGGAUCUGCGGUGGGUACGGGCAGACUAGAGUGAUGUAGGGGAGACUGGAAUUCCUGGUGUAGCGGUGAAAUGCGCAGAUAUCAGGAGGAACACCGAUGGCGAAGGCAGGUCUCUGGGCAUUUACUGACGCUGAGGAGCGAAAGCAUGGGGAGCGAACAGGAUUAGAUACCCUGGUAGUCCAUGCCGUAAACGUUGGGCACUAGGUGUGGGGGACAUUCCACGUUUUCCGCGCCGUAGCUAACGCAUUAAGUGCCCCGCCUGGGGAGUACGGCCGCAAGGCUAAAACUCAAAGGAAUUGACGGGGGCCCGCACAAGCGGCGGAGCAUGCGGAUUAAUUCGAUGCAACGCGAAGAACCUUACCAAGGCUUGACAUGUGCCAGACCGCUCCAGAGAUGGGGUUUCCCUUCGGGGCUGGUUCACAGGUGGUGCAUGGUUGUCGUCAGCUCGUGUCGUGAGAUGUUGGGUUAAGUCCCGCAACGAGCGCAACCCUCGUUCCAUGUUGCCAGCACGUAGUGGUGGGGACUCAUGGGAGACUGCCGGGGUCAACUCGGAGGAAGGUGGGGAUGACGUCAAAUCAUCAUGCCCCUUAUGUCUUGGGCUUCACGCAUGCUACAAUGGCCGGUACAAUGGGUUGCGAUACUGUGAGGUGGAGCUAAUCCCUAAAAGCCGGUCUCAGUUCGGAUUGGGGUCUGCAACUCGACCCCAUGAAGUCGGAGUCGCUAGUAAUCGCAGAUCAGC